GAUGGAGUCUCGCUCUGUCGCCCAGGCUGGAGUGCAGUGGUGCGAUCUCGGCUCACUGCAACCUCCACCUCCCAGGUUCAAGCAGUUCUCAUGCCACAGCCUACUGAGUAGCUGGGAUUACAGGAGCACGCCACCACGACCGGCUCACUUUUUUAUUUUUAGUAGAGAUGGGGUUUCACCAUGUUGGCCGGACCUCAAGUGAUCCACCUGCCUCAGCUUCCCAAAUUGCUGGGAUCAUAGGUGUGAGCCACCACACCCAGCCUGGUAUCUUCUAUUUUAUCUGGCAACCUUAGAAGGAUAAAGAAACCAUGGUAACUCUAAAAACUGCACGUAUUAAGGGAAG
rnacentral:lncRNA from 1 species